rnacentral:rRNA from 1 species
GAUUCUGGCUCAGGACGAACGCUGGCGGCGUGCCUAACACAUGCAAGUCGAGCGAUGAAGCCCUUCGGGGUGAAUUAGCGGCGGACGGGUGAGUAACACGUGGGUAACCUGCCUUAUAGAGGGGGAUAGCCUCCCGAAAGGAAGAUUAAUACCGCAUGAAAUGUUUUUAUCGCAUGGUAGAAACAUCAAAGGAGUAAUCCGCUAUAAGAUGGACCCGCGGCGCAUUAGCUAGUUGGUGAGGUAACGGCCCACCAAGGCGACGAUGCGUAGCCGACCUGAGAGGGUGAUCGGCCACAUUGGAACUGAGACACGGUCCAGACUCCUACGGGAGGCAGCAGUGGGGAAUAUUGCGCAAUGGGGGAAACCCUGAACCGCAGCAACGCCGCGUGAAUGAAGAAGGCCUUAGGGUUGUAAAGUUCUGUUUUCUGGGACGAUAAUGACGGUACCAGAGGAGGAAGCCACGGCUAACUACGUGCCAGCAGCCGC